ACGCACGCUGGCGGCGUGCUUAACACAUGCAAGUCGAACGGAAAGGCCCUGCUUUUGUGGGGUGCUCGAGUGGCGAACGGGUGAGUAACACGUGAGUAACCUGCCCUUGACUUUGGGAUAACUUCAGGAAACUGGGGCUAAUACCGGAUAGGAGCUCCUGCUGCAUGGUGGGGGUUGGAAAGUUUCGGCGGUUGGGGAUGGACUCGCGGCUUAUCAGCUUGUUGGUGGGGUAGUGGCUUACCAGGGCUUUGACGGGUAGCCGGCCUGAGAGGGUGACCGGCCACAUUGGGACUGAGAUACGGCCCAGACUCCUACGGGAGGCAGCAGUGGGGAAUAUUGCACAAUGGGCGGAAGCCUGAUGCAGCAACGCCGCGUGCGGGAUGACGGCCUUCGGGUUGUAAACCGCUUUCGCCUGUGACGAAGCGUGAGUGACGGUAAUGGGUAAAGAAGCACCGGCUAACUACGUG
rnacentral:rRNA from 1 species